AUGAUACUUUUUCUUUAUGACCAGCAAAUUGAGGUGCCAGAUAAUAUAGGUCACCUGAAGGACAAGCCGUCAGAAUCGGAGCUCAGAGCCGCUCAGCCCGGCCGCCAGCUCGUUAGGGAACCGCACACUCAGCUCCCACCCAGCUCGGGACGCCCAGCGGGAGCCUCCCUUGCAAACACCAGCAGACACCAUUUUGCAGAACUCUUAAGAAACGCGGGUUAAAUGUGUUAGGUACAACGCAUGCAGCCACGACGGGCAUGGAAAGCGAGAGGGCUGGCCCGGGGAGAAGCAAACCUCCUGAGGUUGGGAUUGCUCUUGCUGGGGGCUUUGUAAACAGCCUUGCAUCUCACACCUCUGCCAGGCAACAAAAUGGUGGUGGCUCUAAAAAAUAAAUAAAUAAAUAAACGACGCGGGGGUGGGGGGAAGGUGGCACCAGGUAGGUACCAGAGAUGGACUUUUAUACAAUUUUCUUGGGCUGCCGGUUACCAACAGUUGUUCUCUCUCUUUUUCUUUCUUCCUUUCUUUCUCUGUCUCUGUCUCUCUUUCUCCACCCCCUCCCCCUCUCUCUCUCUUCCUCCUCCCUCCCUCUCUCUUAUUCUCCUUGCUAUAUUCUCUGCAGUAAUCUUCCCCGUUCUACUGAAGGGGGCGAAAGACCCAACUGAUUUGACUCCAGUUCCUCCUCCUCAGCCUUGCCAAUUCCUAAUUAAGCAUACUUUCUGAUUUGUUUCUAUGUAUCUUAAGGGGUGAGGUGCUGAGGCAAGUUACGAGUUUGGGUUACCUUGUUUGCCUGUUUUGGUGCAUUGAACAUAUUUACGAGAUGAAAAAGCUCCUUUCUAAGUGGGUGUUAACUGCUGUAAGAUUCCCAGAAAACGUGUUGAAGGGACAUCUAAACGGAAAAUGUGCAGUAUUACUCCAUUGCACCUUUUAGAAUAAAACAAGCAUUGUGGCUACUCUGUUGGGCUCUGGUGGCAGUGUGGCAGCGAGCGAUUUGUGUGACUGCGGCACAUUCGUUUUCCUUUUCUAUUAUAAUCCCACCUUCCUUAAGGAAUAAAUGAGAGCGUACAGCAAAGAGCUAAGCAAAGUUGCAUGACACAGCUUCGGUAAAUGGCAGCUAUCACUGUUUUAUUAUGUCUUUGCUUCAAGCUCUCUCCCUGGGCCUGGAGCUCAGCUUCUGCGCACAAAUGCUUGAUGGAGAGAGCUCUGUGUUAUCUGAACCUAGAAAUUCUACAGCAGAGGUUUGGCUCCACCUCACCAUUGAUUUCCUUUCCGUGAUUUUGUAAGUCAUCGCUUUGUGAUGCAAUUUCUCUGUAUGAAACAAAUGAAUAUUUUUUUUUUACCACCCCUUCUGAGACUGUUGAUAAAACACACUCGACAAAUGUUUACGGCACCCUUGUGAGGCACUAAGGAAUGAGGAGAAAUCCACACCUAACCACCACCACCAGGCAUCCCAGUGUGCUCAGGGCAGCGCCAGUUUUUGCCGAAGUAUUAAAAGCCCCUCCUUUCAUUCCCCCAAGUGUCUUUGAUGGGCUGGUUAGUUAUAAGGUCACCCUAUAGAAAACAUAACGCCAGGCCUAGAGAAAGUCAGAGUCAGGGUGAGAGAAGAGACUGGAAGGAGGAGGUGGGCACUGGAGACCAGAUAACCAGAGAGACAACAGAUAGAUACAUAGAUAGACAGGUCAUAGAGAUACAUAGAGAGAUAAGAAAGAUGAUAGAUAAGACACACAGAUGAUAGAUAGAUAGACGAUAGAUACAUACAAUAUAUAGAGAUGAGUAGAUAAAGAUAGGUACAGUCAGGAAUGGUGGCUCAUGCCUGUAAUCCCAGCACUUUGGCAGUCUGAGGCAGGAGGAUCACUUGAGUACAGAGUUUGAGACCAGCCUGGGCAACGUAAUGGGACCCAGUCUCUAUUAAAUAAAUUUUUUAAAAGAUAGAUAAGUAAUAGGUACAUAAAUAGAUGACAGACACAUAGAUACAUAAUACAUACAUAGAUGAUAGAUUGAUGGAAAAUAGAGGAUGGAUAGAUAGAUGGUAGAUAUAUACAUAUAGAUGGAUAGAUAAAGAUAGAUAAGUAAUCGAAACAAACAGAUACAUAGGUACAUACAUCAAAAGAUAAAGGAUAGAUGGAUAGAAAGAUGGCUGGAUGGAUGGACAGAUAAAUAGAUACAUAGAGAUUAAGAGAAGGAGAAAUGAAGCUAAAUGAAGCUUCAUUUAGCUGAGAAACUGAAUGACCACGGGGAAAUGUGUCAUCUUUCUAAGUCGCUGCUGCUUCAUGGGGAAAGCAGGGACCACUGAGUCAGGCCUGCUUCCAGGGUGUGUAGCUGAUGAAAUGACAGGUACCUGAAUACCUGGCACAGGACCUGUCAACAGGCAGCUAAGGCAUAGCAAAGAAAGCGUUUGCCUUCUUAAGAACCAAAGAGGAAACCUCAAAAGAAAACCAUCAUCAUACAUAAAGUUAUGUGUCAUUUCCAAAAAUAUAAUUAUCUUAUGCUUUAUUAUAUAUUUUUUUUUAAUUUUUUUUUUUUUUUUUGAGACGGAGUCUGUCUCUGUCGCCCGCGCUGGAGUGCAGUGGUGCGAUCUUGGCUCACUGCAAGCGCCACCUCCCAGUUUCCUGCCGUAUUGGUGCUCCGUGAAUACUUGUUAAUGGAUGAUGGGCGGAUCUAGGGGUCCUGUGCUGCUCUGU
rnacentral:lncRNA from 1 species